rnacentral:rRNA from 1 species
UACGAAGGGGGGCUAGCGUUGCUCGGAAUCACUGGGCGUAAAGAGCGUGUAGGCGGCCAGAUAGGUCAGCUGUGAAAACUCGAGGCUCAACCUCGAGAUGUCGGCUGAAACCAUCUGGCUAGAGUCCGGAAGAGGAGAAUGGAAUUCCCGGUGUAGCGGUGAAAUGCGCAGAUAUCGGGAAGAACACCCGUGGCGAAGGCGGUUCUCUGGGACGUAGCUGACGCUGAGACGCGAAAGCGUGGGGAGCAAACAGG